rnacentral:rRNA from 1 species
UCGGGAAUUUUGGGCAAUGGGCGCAAGCCUGAUCCAGCCAUGCCGCGUGCAGGAUGAAGGCCUUCGGGUUGUAAACUGCUUUUGUACGGAACGAAAAGACUCUGGUUAAUACCUGGGGUCCAUGACGGUACCGUAAGAAUAAGCACCGGCUAACUACGUGCCAGCAGCCGCGGUAAUACGUAGGGUGCGAGCGUUAAUCGGAAUUACUGGGCGUAAAGCGUGCGCAGGCGGUUAUAUAAGACAGAUGUGAAAUCCCCGGGCUCAACCUGGGAACUGCAUUUGUGACUGUAUAGCUAGAGUACGGCAGAGGGGGAUGGAAUUCCGCGUGUAGCAGUGAAAUGCGUAGAUAUGCGGAGGAACACCGAUGGCGAAGGCAAUCCCCUGGGCCUGUACUGACGCUCAUGCACGAAAGCGUGGGGAGCAAACAGGAUUAGAUACCCAAGUAGUCCCUGAGCGGGCUGGCAAGGCGCAU